CUGAGGAGCACGCCGCGUGAGUGAUGAAGGCUUUCGGUGUCGUAAAACUCUGUUGUUAGGGAAGAACAAGUACAGAGAGUAACUGGCUGUACCUUGACGGUACCUAACUAGAAAGCCACGGCUAACUACGUGCCAGCAGCCGCGGUAAUACGUAGGUGGCAAGCGUUAUCCGGAAUUAUUGGGCGUAAAGCGCGCGCAGGCGGUUUCUUAAGUCUGAUGUGAAAGCCCACGGCUCAACCGUGGAGGGUCAUUGGAAACUGGGGAACUUGAGUGCAGAAGAGAAAAGUGGAAUUCCACGUGUAGCGGUGAAAUGCGUAGAGAUGUGGAGGAACACCAGUGGCGAAGGCGGCUAUUUGGUCUGUAACUGACGCUGAGGCGCGAAAGCGUGGGGAGCAAACAGGAUUAGAUACCCUGGUAGUCCACGCCGUAAACGAUGAGUGCUAAGUGUUAGAGGGUUUCCGCCCUUUAGUGCUGCAGCUAACGCAUUAAGCAUCCGC
rnacentral:rRNA from 2 species